rnacentral:piRNA from 1 species
UAGCCUGUCUUUGGCAGACCCUUUAGACUUU